rnacentral:rRNA from 1 species
AACGAACGCUGGCGGCAUGCCUAACACAUGCAAGUCGAACGAGACCUUCGGGUCUAGUGGCGCACGGGUGCGUAACGCGUGGGAACCUGCCCUUAGGGUCGGAAUAACUCUCCGAAAGGGGUGCUAAUACCGGAUAAUGUCUUCGGACGAAAGAUUUAUCGCCUUUGGAUGGGCCCGCGUUGGAUUAGCUGGUUGGUAGGGUAAAAGCCUACCAAGGGGACGAUCCAUAGCUGGUCUGAGAGGAUGAUCAGCCACACUGGGACUGGGACACGGCCCGGACUCCUACGGGAGGCAGCAGUGGGGAAUAUUGGACAGUGGGCGGAGGCCUGAUCCAGCAAUGCCCCGUGAGUGAUGAAGGCCUUAGAGUUGUAAAGCUCUUUUAACCAGGAUGAUAAUGACAGUACCGGGAGAAUAAGCUCCGGCUAACUCCGUG